rnacentral:rRNA from 1 species
GAUGAACGCUGGCGGCGUGCCUAAUACAUGCAAGUCGAGCGAACGGACGAGAAGCUUGCUUCUCUGAUGUUAGCGGCGGACGGGUGAGUAACACGUGGAUAACCUACCUAUAAGACUGGGAUAAUUUCGGGAAACCGGAGCUUAUACCGGAUAAUAUUUUGAACCGCAUGGUUCAAAAGUGAAAGACGGUCUUUCUGUCACUUAUAGAUGGAUCCGCGCUGCAUUAGCUAGUUGGUAAGGUAACGGCUUACCAAGGCAACGAUGCAUAACCGACCUGAGAGGGUGAUCGGCCACACUGGAACUGAGACACGGUCCAGACUCCUACGGGAGGCAGCAGUAGGGAAUCUUACGCAAUGGGCGAGAGCCUGACGGAGCAACGCCGCGUGAGUGAUGAAGGUCUUCGGAUCGUAAAACUCUGUUAUUAGGGGAGAACAUAUGUGUAAGUAACUGUGCACAUCUUGACGGUACCUAGUCAGAAAGCCACGGCUAACUACGUG